rnacentral:miRNA from 1 species
GUUCUUUAGACUGGGCGUCUG